GAUGAACGCUGGCGGCGUGCCUAAUACAUGCAAGUCGAGCGAACGGACGAGAAGCUUGCUUCUCUGAUGUUAGCGGCGGACGGGUGAGUAACACGUGGAUAACCUACCUAUAAGACUGGGAUAACUUCGGGAAACCGUAGCUAAUACCGGAUAAUAUUUUGAACCGCAUGGUUCAAAAGUGAAAGACGGUCUUGCUGUCACUUAUAGAUGGAUCCGCGCUGCAUUAGCUAGUUGGUAAGGUAACGGCUUACCAAGGCAACGAUGCAUAGCCGACCUGAGAGGGUGAUCGGCCACGCUGGAACUGAGACACGGUCCAGACUCCUACGGGAGGCAGCAGUAGGGAAUCUUCCGCAAUGGGCGAAAGCCUGACGGAGCAACGCCGCGUGGGUGAUCAAGGUCUUCGGAUCGUAAAACUCUGUUAUUAGGGAAGAACAUAUGUGUAAGUAACUGUGCACAUCUUGACGGUACCUAAUCAGAAAGCCACGGCUAACUACGUG
rnacentral:rRNA from 1 species